GGGGAAUUUUGGACAAUGGACGAAAGUCUGAUCCAGCGACGCCGCGUGAAGGACGAAGGUUUUCGGAUCGUAAACUUCUUUUGCAGGGGACGAAUACGCGCAAGCGUUUGACAGUACUCUGCGAAUAAGCCACGGCUAACUACGUGCCAGCAGCCGCGGUAAUACGUAGGUGGCGAGCGUUACUCGGAAUUACUAGGCGUAAAGCGCGUGUAGGCGGGAGCUUAAGUCUGCUGUUAAAUCUAAGGGCCUAACCCUUAAAUGCCGGCGGAUACUGGGUUUCUUGAAUUCGGUAGAGGUAACUGGAAUUCCAGGUGUAGCGGUGAAAUGCGUAGAUAUCUGGAAGAACGCCAAAGGCGAAAGCAGGUUACUGGGCCGCAAUUGACGCUGAGACGCGAAAGCUAGGGGAGCAAAC
rnacentral:rRNA from 1 species